rnacentral:rRNA from 1 species
UACGUAGGGUGCGAGCGUUAAUCGGAAUUACUGGGCGUAAAGUGUGCGCAGGCGGCUUCGCAAGUCGAGUGUGAAAUCCCCGAGCUUAACUUGGGAAUUGCGCUCGAAACUACGGAGCUGGAGUGUGGCAGAGGAAGGUGGAAUUCCACGUGUAGCGGUGAAAUGCGUAGAGAUGUGGAGGAACACCGAUGGCGAAGGCAGCCUUCUGGGCCAACACUGACGCUCAUGCACGAAGGUCAGGGGAGCAAACGGG